rnacentral:rRNA from 1 species
AUGGUGGACGAGUACCACCACCGGAUGGGCGCCGCGGCGGCCGACUUCCGGCGCGACCUGGAGGACCUCGUCUGCGACCACCUCGGCGGCUGCUACUCGCCGCCGCCCUCCUCGUCCUCGUCGCUCUGCUCCGCGGCGGGCGGCGGCGGCGGGGGAGGCGCCGAGGGCGGCGGAGGCGUCGGCGGGGCCGGCGAGGAGGAGGCCGAGUCGUCGCGGCGGCGGCGGCGCGAGUCGCGGCUGCUCAGCCGCUGGGUCGCGCGGCAGGCGGAGGAGGUGCUCUCCUCCAUGGAGCGCGAGGUGGAGCGGCGGAACCGCGAGUCGGAGCUCCUCGCGCUCACCCGGCUCCACCCGGUCUCCACCCUCGACCCCUCCGCGUUCCUCCUCUCCUCGCCCCCGCCGCCGCGCCCUCAGGCGCCCUCGCCCGCCGCGCCCUCCUCCCUGCUCCAGAUGUGGCGGGAGCUCGAGCACCGCCGCGCCGACGCCGGCCAGCCCUUCGACCGCGAGCCGUCCCCGGACACGCCCGACCGCCACCGCGAGCGCGUGCGCCAGAUCGCCCGCCGCCUCACCACCUCCACGGACAGCCCCACGGCCGCGGCCGCCACGGCCACGGGGGAGUGGCUCGGCGAGACGGAGAGGCAGAGGGUCAGGCUCGUCAGGGAGUGGGUGCAGAUGGCCAGCCAGCCGCGCGACGCCCGCGCGGCCUCCCGCAGGGAGGAGCCGACCGCCGCGGAGAGGGAGAGGCGAGGGGAGCCUCCCCGGCUCCGUGGCCGGCAGGCGCGCACCGAUGUCAUCACUCGGAUGUCCCGGGAGCGUCAGCGCGAGCUGCAGGGGCUAUCGGGGUACCACAUUGUGUCGCAGUUCCCCCAGCGCAGCCGCAGCCGCAUUCAGGGAUUGCUUAGGGUAAGGUUCUUGAGGAACGCGGUGGCUCCAGCAGAAGAGGAGCGACAGCCAUCUGUGGCGGCGAGGGAGCUCGGGCAGUUGAGGCAGAGCCAUCGUGUGUCCACCUUAAGAUCAGAGAGUGCUGUAAGUAGUCAAGAUGUUAGCCUGUCUGAUGCUCCUGUCGCCGAAAAUGUUCCAUUACUUGGUAAUGAUGAAACUGAACAGGGGGCUGAAGUUGGGCACCUUACUGUUAGUGAGGAUGUGGCCCAAACUACGCCCGAGAAUGUGGGUUUACAGGAGGAUAACGUAGAUGUUGCUGAGGCGGAGUCACCGGCUACAACAUCGGGUGACAUAGUUGAUAUGCAAGUGUCUCAAGUUGAUAAUGGGCUGCAAGUUGAGGCAGAACGUGAGACAAUAUUUUGGCAGCCAUCUUUGGAUGUCAGGCUUGAUAGGUGGCCCAAUGAAACUGCAGAGAAUUCUGACAGAAAUUGGGAAGAUAAUGCAGAGGAGUUACACAGCGAAAUCGCGGAGGAUGAUGACAGGGAGAAUGAAAAUCUCCAAGAUGAGCAUGAUGCGUGGCACGAUGACGAAUCUCAUGGCACCGAGGAGAACUGGCAAGAUGAUGACUUCCAUGAUGCUGCACUUGACACAGGGCCCAUUCCUAGAAUUGAAAACAGCUUCAACCUACGUGAUGAAGCCAAUUUGCACAACAUGGAACUGAGGGAAUUACUUAGCAGGCGAAGUGUAUCCAAUCUUCUUAGUAAUGGUUUUGGUGACAGUUUGGAGCAAUUAAUAAGGUCAUAUGUUCAACGACGUGGCCAUGCCCCACUCAACUGGAAUCUCGAUACAGCCAUGCCCACUGCGAAUGCACCAAAUGGAAACCAGGAACUAGUAAGAAAUGCUGAAAAUCGGCAAUUCCAAGGUCCUGCCAACAGACCUGCCCUUGUUAUCCCUCCACCACCUUUGCCACCGCGGCAGCCACUGUGGCACAGAGAUUUGCGCCAUAACACCUGGAGCAGUAGACACAGGGUACAUCAGGAAUUGGACGCCAUUAAUGAUUUGAAAGCUGACAUGAAUAAACUCCAACAAGGGAUGAGCAGCAUGCAAAGGAUGUUGGAGGCGUGCAUGGACAUGCAACUGGAGUUGCAACGUUCAGUGAGACAAGAAGUGUCUGCAGCCUUGAGUAGAUUCCCGGGACCUGAAGGUUGCAUGUUUCUGGAUCUACACGAUGACGGAACGAGAUGGGACCAGGUGAGGAAAGGAACCUGCUGCGUAUGCUGCGACACACAAAUCGAUUCUCUACUCUACAGAUGCGGGCACAUGUGCACGUGCUCGAAAUGCGCGAACGAGCUGGUGCGCAGCGGCGGCAAGUGCCCGCUGUGCCGGGCGCCGAUCGUGGAGGUGGUCCGGGCAUACGCGGUGCUGUAA